GCCUGGUUGGCUCAAUUGAUUAAGCAUCUGACUUCAGCUCAGGUCAUGAUCUCGCGGUUCAUGGGUUCAAGCCCUGUAUUGGGCU
rnacentral:tRNA from 1 species